UCGGGAAUUUUGGGCAAUGGGGGAAACCCUGACCCAGCAACGCCGCGUGAAGGAUGAAGUAUUUCGGUAUGUAAACUUCGAAAGAAUAGGAAGAAUAAAUGACGGUACUAUUUAUAAGGUCCGGCUAACUACGUGCCAGCAGCCGCGGUAAUACGUAGGGACCAAGCGUUGUUCGGAAUCACUGGGCGUAAAGGGCGUGUAGGCGGUUUGGUAAGUGGGAUGUGAAAUGCUCCGGCCCACCCGGAGAGGUGCAUCCCAUACUGCUAGACUUGAGUACGGGAGAGGAUGGGGGAAUUCCUGGUGUAGCGGUGAAAUGCGUAGAUAUCAGGAGGAACACCGGUGGCGAAGGCGCCCAUCUGGCCCGAUACUGACGCUGAGGCGCGAAAGCUAGGGGAGCAAACGGGGAUUAGAUACCCAAGUAGUCCCUGAGCGGGCUGGCAAGGCGCAU
rnacentral:rRNA from 1 species